rnacentral:misc_RNA from 1 species
AACUGAUACUACCUGCGGGAACCUGCGGAGGGAUCAUUACAGGACUCGCAAGACUCCUACAACCCUGUGAACUUAACUAUAAGCACGUUGCUUCGGCGGGUGUCUCGGCGAGGGUUCUCCCUCCCCGGGGCGCUAAGCCCGCCGGCAGCCUACUAUACUCUGUCUCUUUGCGUUGGCAUCUCGAGUACAAACAAACAAGUUAAAACUUUUAGCAAUGGAUCUCUAGAUCGGAAGAGCACA